UACGGAGGGUGCGAGCGUUGUCCGGAAUCACUGGGCGUAAAGGGCGCGUAGGCGGCCCGGCAAGUCAGGUGGUGAAAGCCCGAGGCUCAACUUCGGGUCGGCCACUGAUACUGCUAGGCUUGAGUCGACUAGAGGCAGAUGGAAUUCCGGGUGUAGCGGUGGAAUGCGUAGAGAUCCGGAAGAACACCGGUGGCGAAGGCGGGUCUCUGGGCAGUAACUGGACGCUGAGGAGCGAAAGCGUGGGGAGCGAACAGG
rnacentral:rRNA from 1 species